CUGCAUAGUCACGCGGAACGGCUGUCAGCUUGCAAGGGUGACACGGUCGGCGGGUCCAGACGCUCGAUCACCGGCAAAACGUAUCCGAAUUCGCGUACGAAACAAACACCGCGCACAGCAUCCACAUUCCACCAUAGGGAAUCUGCGACCGCGCAACCGCCGGGAUCAAAUCACAUCCGCCGGCGAAAGUAGUGCCGCGCUUCGCCGAAACCGCGAAUCAAAUAGCUAAAAGGACGGCUGCGCGCUCCCAAACUAGUAAACACCAAAUCUAGCAUUCGUUCUCGACGUUUAUUUUUAUUUUCUUUUUUUUUUCCUCCUUUUCGCACUUCAUGUCGCGGUCCUCUAUUACAAACCUCAAGGUUGUUGCUGUUUUUGUGUCCAAAUAAUCUGUCACAAGAGGUUCUUCAAAUUAAUAAAAGUGAAACAGUUGCACGCAGUUACGGAAGUGGCGUCAUUCCUAUCCCAAUAUGGCGGACGUUGAGCAGAGUAAACAGAGUGGCAAUUACAGCAGGUCGUAUGUGGUCAAGAAAGUUCCGAUGACGACCCUCGAUGAGAACGUGAACCGUGUUCCACGGGUAUACACAAACGAACGAGUAGAGGAAGAUCGAUCGGGUUGGCAAGAAAGAAUAGAACGUCUUUCAAUGGAUAGUCAGGAUAAAAACACCUCGGAUGUCGGACAACCUGUGCAAAUUGUACUUGCUCAUCCGGACCACAGUUUCGAGUUAAACGAAGAAGCGUUGUCGAAAAUUCUCCUUGAAAAUGACAUUAAAAACAGGAGCGUAGUUGUCGUAUCAGUGGCAGGUGCUUUCAGGAAAGGCAAAAGCUUCCUGCUUGACUUCUUCUUGCGUUAUAUGAACAGUCAGUACAAUAAUAAUAAUCAAACGGAUUCCUGGUUGGGCGAAGAUAAUGAACCACUGAGUGGAUUUUCGUGGAAAGGUGGCUCUGAAAGAGACACGACAGGCAUAUUAAUGUGGUCGAAAGUUUUCCGCGGUACUCUACCGGACGGUGAAAAAGUUGCAGUUAUCUUAAUGGAUACACAAGGUGCUUUCGACAGUCAGUCGACGGUGAAGGACUGUGCGACUGUGUUUGCUCUUAGUACAAUGUUGUCAUCUGUACAAAUUUAUAAUCUGUCACAAAACAUCCAAGAGGAUGAUCUUCAGCACUUGCAGCUUUUCACGGAAUAUGGUAGGCUCGCCUUACAAAAAUCCGGGCGCAAACCAUUCCAGAAAUUGCAGUUCUUAGUGAGAGAUUGGAGUUAUCCGUACGAGGCGUCGUACGGCGCAGAAGGUGGGGAAAAGAUAUUGAACAGAAGAUUAGAAAUCUCUGAUAAACAGCAUCCAGAAUUGCAAAGUCUAAGGAAGCACAUUAAAUCUUGCUUCUCGGAUAUAUCUUGUUUCCUUAUGCCACAUCCGGGUCUCAAUAUUGCCACCAAUCCUCACUUCGAUGGCAGAUUGUCGGAAAUUCAGCCAGAAUUUAAAGAACAGCUCAAAGUGCUGAUACCGAUGUUAUUAGCGCCAGAGAAUUUGGUUACAAAGAAAAUCGAUGGCCAACUUGUGAAGGCAAGAGAUUUGCUAGAAUAUUUUAAAAGCUAUAUGAAAAUUUAUAAAGGAAACGAGCUUCCAGAACCAAAAAGUAUGCUAGUGGCAACAGCAGAGGCAAACAAUUUAGCUGCGGUAACAGAAGCUAGAGAAUUUUAUAUACGAUUAAUGGAAGAUGUUUGUGGAUCCAAAAAACCGUAUUUAACAACAGCGCGUUUAGAAAACGAGCACACGCGUUGUAUGGACAAAGCUAUGUGCAUAUUCCAAAAUAAAAGGAAAAUGGGGGGAGAUGCAUUUAGUCAAACUUAUAUGAAAAAAUUAUGUGAAGACAUGGACAAAGUCUUUGUUCACUUUAAAGCACAAAACGAAAGCAAAAAUGUUUUCAAAUCAACACGAACCGCAGGAGUAUAUGGUGCAAUUGUUGCUAUUAUGUAUUUUUUAUCCUCAGUAUUUGGUUUUACUGGUUUAUACCUGCUAGCAAAUAUCUGUAACUUCAUCAUGUGCAUCUGUAUAUUAACUCUCAUGUUAUUGGCAUAUAUUAGGUACAGUGGUAAUUACGAUACACUUGGAGUAGUAAUAGAUGAAGUGGCUAAUACAUUAUGGAAUAAUGUCCGAGAUAAUAUGGGCGUACUACUAUUCACUGUACUUACACUUGCUGUGGCUGCUGCUUCAUCAUGGUUUUUAAUUUUACGUAAUUCCACUUUUCCUUCCCCAUCUCCUUUACCCUCUCCCGUUAUUCGUUUUAGUUCUGCAAAUGUACCUAACUUUUUGGAACAUUUAUAUUCCGCAACAGAUGUUGGUUUUUGUACUGUCUCCAAGUUCUUCCACUCUUGUAAUUCCGUUUUACAUCGCUAUUUUCCCAUUUUUUCAGAAUAUUUAUAUCACCUGACGAACAUUACUAUUAAUAAUAUUGAUAAAUUAUAUGAUUCUUGUUUAACCUAUUACUCCCCACUUUUUUCGGAAUAUUUGCAUUACCUAACAAAUAUUACUUUUGACAAUACUUCUAAAUUGUAUAAUUAUUAUCUAGAUUAUCUAUAAAUCAUUUUAUAAUAUAUAGUUAAACUGUUAUAGUCAUAUUUGCACAUUUACUACAUACAUGUAUUCAUUACUUUCAAUAUUACAUUUUUUACUUGUAUAAAUACUGCCUUUAAUAUUAUGUUACUAUUUUUUUUUCCUCCUUAAUGUAAGCUGAAUACUAACAGGAGCGAUUGUACAAAAGUUAAUUAAACCAGUCUAUCAACAAUUUGUGGAGAAGUCAGUGUCUGUAGCAGUGGCUCAAGCUGCUGAAAUGGCUA